rnacentral:misc_RNA from 1 species
AGCUUCAGCUAAUACAGAGCGAGUUUUUAUGGGUGAUAAACACUGAGGGUUUUGGAGAGAAACCAAGAAAUCCAACCAUUUUCGACAGAAUUGCUUCAAUCUACCACCAGGAAGACUAUUAAUCAUCCUCCCUCUACCAUCAGUUUGUCUUCAUUGGGUUGUUCCUUACUAGAAAAGGGAAGAUUCGAAAGGACAAAGCUUCCCACCUCCAUUACCAGUGAUUCGUGCAAAACCCAGGCUUUCCGUCAGCGUUGGUUGCUGAAUAAGCCUUUACUUUAGUUGAUUUCGCUGGGAAUUUGAAGGACAGUUCUGGUUGAUGAUCUGCAUGAAGGUUAGCAGUAAAGUUUUUUGUGGUUUUUAUAUGAUAAUUAUUAUUUGUUUUUAUUCUACAAUGGAGGAUUUCAGUGUUCCUUUGGCUACUUUGCAUUUCAUAUGUCCCCCUUUUUAUUUGUUAAAUGACAAAUUUUAUUUUGUAAAUAAAACCCUAAAAUGGAAGGAGCACAGAGGCAAAUACAACUAUUUAUCUCCUUUUUAGGCUUCAUUUUGAUUGUAUUGUUUUAUUGAUUGCAUAGGAAAUGGUACAGUUUUGAAUAGUAUCAUUGUGUUUUCUUUUUCAAAUAUCCAAAAAUUAAGGAAUAAUUGAUCAAAUAAAUAAGGAGAAGAGAUGAAUAAGCUUGACUUACUUUUCUUUAUCCUUGAGGAUUUGAAAUAGUUUAUUAAUAUCCACCACCGAAUAAGAAAAGCACCAAGUAUUUUGGAAACAUUUCAGUUGUCCUUCCAGUUCAGUUCUGGCCAGCAAGCAUGAGAAACUGUGACAGCAUGAAGGAUAAUUUUGUGUUGCUAAUUGGUGCAGUAGUUAGAUUAGAUACAAAAUUAGUGAUUUAUGAUUAGGAUUCCAUUUGGUCAUCAUUGUUGAAACCCAAGCAAUAUAAUUUUUCAUAAUCUGCUGAUUGCUUUCAUAAAAAUUAGUGUUAAAAUAGGGUGAAGGGUAUUUUGGUGCUUGUCAUCAUUGACAUAUAAGUUAUCAAAUCAGUCUUCCUUAAAUAGCCAUUGGAUGUUUCAUGCCUUUAUCAUCUGCUUGCUGUGAUAUAUGCAGCAUGAAAAUGGAAAAGCGGACUCAGGAAAACGCGGAAACAGACACAGUGAAACGCGUAAAUAUAAAAAAUAU